rnacentral:tRNA from 1 species
GAGACUUAGGUUAACUAAAACCAAGGGCCUUCAAAGCCCUAAACAAGAGUGAAAAUCUCUUAGUCUCUGA